GAUGAACGCUGGCGGCGUGCCUAAUACAUGCAAGUCGAGCGAACAGACGAGGAGCUUGUUCCUCUGACGUGAGCCGCGGACGGGUGAGUAACACGUGGAUAACCUACCUAUAAGACUGGGAUAACUUCGGGAAACCGGAGCUAAUACCGGAUAAGAUGUUGCACCGCAUGGUUGAUCAGUGAAAGACGGUCGUGCGGUCACGUAUAGAUGGAUCCGCGCCGCAUUAGCUGGUUGGUAGGGUAAAGGCUUACCACGGCGACGAUGCGUUGCCGAACUGAGAGAGGGAUAGGCCACAUUAGAACUGGACCGGCGACAAGACUCCUGCGGGACGGAGCAGUAGCGUACCGGCGGCAGUAGGCGGGAGCAUGGCGGAGCAACGGGGCGUGAGUGGAGGAAGUCUUGGGAGCGUAAAGCUCGGUUACGAGGGGAGAACAAAUGUCUAAGUAACUGAACAGGUCUUGACGGUAACUAAUCAAGAAGCCACGGCUAACUACGUG
rnacentral:rRNA from 1 species